GACGAACGCUGGCGGCGUGCUUAACACAUGCAAGUCGAACGGUGAAAGCGGAGCUUGCUCCGCUGGAUCAGUGGCGAACGGGUGAGUAACACGUGGGCAACCUGCCCCAGACUUCGGGAUAACUCCUCGAAAGAGGUGCUAAUACCGGAUACGAAGCCCCCAGGCAUCUGGGGGCUUGGAAAGGUUUUCGGUCUGGGAUGGGCCCGCGGCCUAUCAGCUUGUUGGUGAGGUAACGGCUCACCAAGGCGACGACGGGUAGCCGGCCUGAGAGGGCGACCGGCCACACUGGGACUGAGACACGGCCCAGACUCCUACGGGAGGCAGCAGUGGGGAAUAUUGCGCAAUGGGCGAAAGCCUGACGCAGCAACGCCGCGUGAGGGAUGACGGCCUUCGGGUUGUAACCUCUUUCAGCAGGGAAGAAGCGAAAGUGACGGUACCUGCAGAAGAAGCACCGGCUAACUACGUGCCAGCAGCCGCCGUAA
rnacentral:rRNA from 1 species